AGCGAACGCUGGCGGCAGGCCUAACACAUGCAAGUCGAACGAAGUCUUCGGACUUAGUGGCGGACGGGUGAGCAACACGUGGGAACGCGCCUUUAGGUUCGGAAUAACUCAGGGAAACUUGUGCUAAUACCGAAUGUGCCCUUCGGGGGAAAGAUUUAUCGCCUUUAGAGCGGCCCGCGUCUGAUUAGCUAGUUGGUGAGGUAAAGGCUCACCAAGGCGACGAUCAGUAGCUGGUCUGAGAGGAUGAUCAGCCACAUUGGGACUGAGACACGGCCCAAACUCCUACGGGAGGCAGCAGUGGGGAAUCUUGCGCAAUGGGCGAAAGCCUGACGCAGCCAUGCCGCGUGAAUGAUGAAGGUCUUAGGAUUGUAAAAUUCUUUCCCCGGGGACGAUAAUGACGGUACCCGGAGAAGAAGCCCCGGCUAACUUCGUGCCAGCCGCCGCCGUAA
rnacentral:rRNA from 1 species